GAGGUGCAAUUGUGCUCAUUUUUACCUCUUCCAGGAGUGCUGAUGGUGGUGGCCAGAGCAACCAUCUCUUCAUCUCUUCACUCACUGGCUCUUCUGCCCUGGAAAGGUACCAGCUGGUGACAUUUAUCCAUGCACAAGGACAUCAUUGGAGAUUUCUGUCCAGGUGUGGUUGCAGGGAUGGAAAGAAGAAGGGAUUAGAGAAGUUUUUUUUGAAA
rnacentral:lncRNA from 1 species